CGAAUAGUGAAAUAAAGAGAGCUAUCCGUCGACAGUCAAGUUAAUCAGAUUGUAAUACUGUCAUGGAAUUGCUCUCUUUGUAUAAUAUUCG
rfam:Drosophila persimilis strain MSH-3 cont1.001291, whole genome shotgun sequence.